rnacentral:rRNA from 1 species
AUUCCAGCUCCAGUAGCGUAUAUUAAAGUUGUUGCAGUUAAAAAGCUCGUAGUUGGAUUUCUGGUUUCACAGAACUGGCCUACUUCCUCAAGGUCGUGUGCGCCGUGUUUUGUGUACCAUCCUUCUAGAAAUUGUGUUCCAUCCCUUCACUGGGAUAGAUCCGAGAUCUAGAUCUUUUACUUUGAAGAAAUUAGAGUGUUCAAAGCAGGCUCGCGCUGUGAAUACAUUAGCAUGGAAUAACGCGAGAGGACUCGGUCCUUAUUUUGUUGGUCUUCAAGGAUGGAGUAAUGAUUAAGAGGGACAGUUGGGGGCAUUCGUAUUUCAUUGCUAGAGGUGAAAUUUUUGGAUUUAUGAAAGACGAACUUCUGCGAAAGCAUUUGCCAAGGAUGUUUUCAUCA